rnacentral:lncRNA from 1 species
CUUUUUUCUGUUCUUUUUUUUGUUGUUGCGGAUUAGGCUGUUGGGAGUGGGCCUGCUGGGCGCUGGUUGCUACUGGCCUGCUUGUUGCUGGGCCUACUGGAUUGGGCUGCCUGGCUUGCUGGGUUGGCUGUUGCUGCUGUUAUCGAGUCAAGUCGGGUCGAAUCAGAUCCAACUAAUUCUUUUUCUUUUUCUUUCUUUUUUCCUUCUUUCUUUUUCUUUCUUUUUUCCUUCUUCUUCCUUUCUUUCUUUUUUCAUCUUCUCAAACCUUAGCCCUAGCCCGUCGUCGCCGCUUCCCUUAUCCGGCGGUGCGAUGGCCACCGGCGUACUCCCCCUCUCUCUUCUUUCUCUCUUUUUCUUCUCUUUUCUCCUUUUGUUUAUUUCUUUUUCGAGAGCCCUAAAAACCCAUGGGCAUCGUAAACCACUCCGAUCAGCUGCUCAGCUCUUCUCCACCUUCGGUGGCUGUGGCAGUUUUAAAGGUAAGCUCGUCUUCUUUUUCUUUUUUAAGCUCCUUUUUUGUUCUUGGCUUGGCUGCCUUUUUUUCUUUUUGCUUCAUUUGCUGCCCAUUUUGAAAGGAGAUAGGUUUUGGGUUUCGAUUUAGGUUGGGAUGACGAUGAAAAUGGUGGUCAAAGUGGCAGUGGGCCAAUGGCGAUGGGGAAACAACCAAAUUUUUGAAGUUUUUUCUGUUGUUUUUAUUUUUAUUUUUUUUACUUGCUUGCUUUAUUUUUUUGCUUUUGCUUCUUGCUGCUAAUUUUAAGAAGGUGACAGUCCUUUUAAUCUGUUGAUUUUUUAGGGAGCAGUUGGAGGGCCAUCAUGCUUAAGCUAGCUGUUGAAAAAUCGGAG